GCCAGAAAAAAAACCAAAUAGAGGCAAAAAGUACUUUUAUGGGUCGGUCUCUCAACGCCAGCAAGCGGAAUAUUUCAAAAAGCCCAAUGAGCUUGCAACAAUACCAAUUCCAAUCGUACAUAAUUUGUACCACAAAAUGGUUUAUGGAACCAUCGACAGACGGGCCAACGGAGCGAUCGGUCCAUCCCCCCGCGUACUCAGGGUCCACGGCGGUCGGGACUUGCGAGACAUGUUCUAGGCCUCUUCUUCAAGAUGCUCUCUGCCUGAGUAACUUCUGAGGAUAACAAUGCCCAGCGACUUUAUCGACUUGAAUUAUCGGUAAAACGGAAUUAUUACAGAAUAACGUCUCUGUUCAUAAAAAUACGAAUCAAAGCAAAAUUCAAAAGAAAAACUGAAACAAGCAAUCCAUGCCCCACAAAACCCCAAAUGUCAAGUUCGAUGUCGUGUGAGAAUACUGGAAAAAUAUCAGUAUAGUUCGGAUUGUCGGAAGUUAAACACAUAAAAAUAAAAUUCUAAAUUUCUAAAUUUUGAAAAAUAUCUAUUUCGGUUUUUUUUUUUCAAUUAGGUUUAAGCAUAAAAGUGAUUUGUUUUUUUUAGUUUUUAAAGUUAAGCAUAAAGUGAAUAAGGUCACUAACCAUACAGUAUACUGUAUGGUUAGUGAUAAGAUACAACAUAAUAAUACUUCUCCAAGAUACACAUCUAUUGAUUGUUUAACAAGAGCCGCCAGCAUAGAGUCCAUAUUCAUAAAUACCUGGCAAAAAAAAACUACAAAACUUACGGCUGUAAACUGUCGUGGCACAAUGAGGUACAACACGGAUAGUUUUUCUACACACCCCUACAUAAAUACGGGCACUCUACGUCCAUAUUCAUAAAUACUUGGCAAAAUACCUGUGGUGGCACAAUCGGGUACAACACGGCUUCUUCGGAUAGUUUUUUUACACACCCCUACAUAAAUACGGGAAUGGAUCUCAGGGCUCCGAGAAGACUCGCAAGUAGAACCAAUACUUUGUUCUGAUACUGAUUCGGCUAUCGGAAAAUAUAGACUGUGUUCAUCGGGUAAAACAUAAUAAUACUUCUCCAAGAUACACAAGGCAUAAAAAUACUUCUCCAAGAUACACAUCUAUUGAUUGUUCAACAAGAGUCGCACGCGGAGAGUUCACAUCAUACAUACCUGGCAGAAAAAAAAAAAUACAAAUCGUACGGCUGUAAACUGUGGCGGGCAAAUGAGGUACAACACGGCUUCUUCGGAUAGUUUUUCUACACACCCUACAUAAAUACGGGCAAUCUGAGGGAUCUGAGGGCUCCGAGAAGACUCGCAAGUAGAACCACUACUUUGUUCUGACACUUAUUCGGCAAUCGGAAAAUAUAGACUGUGUUCAUCGGGUACAAGAUCUGAUGUGUGACUGGAUAAAAAUAUCAUAUUUUGUUACUAAUAAUUAUAUUACUCGUGAUUAUAUUUUGAUACUAAAGUA
rnacentral:sRNA from 1 species